rnacentral:rRNA from 1 species
UCCGGCUCAGAGAAAGAGCGGGGGGCGCGCGUAACACACACAAAUCUAGCGCGCCCCUCAAGGGGAGUGGCAGACGGGUGAGUAACGCGUGGGAAUCUACCCUUNGGUACGGAAUAACUCAGGGAAACUUGUGCUAAUACCGUAUAAGCCCUUCGGGGGAAAGAUUUAUCGCCCAAGGAUGAGCCCGCGUNGGAUUAGCUAGUUGGUGGGGUAAAGGCCCACCAAGGCGACGAUCCUUAGCUGGUCUGAGAGGAUGAUCAGCCACACUGGGACUGAGACACGGCCCAGACUCCUACGGGAGGCAGCAGUGGGGAAUAUUGGACAAUGGGCGCAAGCCUGAUCCAGCCAUGCCGCGUGAGUGAUGAAGGCCUUAGGGUUGUAAAGCUCUUCACCGGGAAGAUAAUGACGUAC